rnacentral:rRNA from 1 species
UGGGGAAUCUUGCGCAAUGGGCGAAAGCCUGACGCAGCGACGCCGCGUGAGGGAAGAAGGCCCUCGGGUUGUAAACCUCUUUCGGCAGGGAAGAAGCGAAAGUGACGGUACCUGCAGAAGAAGCCCCGGCUAACUACGUGCCAGCAGCCGCGGUAAGACGUAGGGGGCGAGCGUUGUCCGGAUUUAUUGGGCGUAAAGAGCGCGUAGGCGGUUCGGAAAGUCGGGUGUGAAAACCCGGGGCUCAACCCCGGGCCUGCAUCCGAUACUGUCGAACUAGAGGCAGACAGGGGAGAGUGGAAUUCCUGGUGUAGCGGUGAAAUGCGCAGAUAUCAGGAGGAACACCGGUGGCGAAGGCGGCUCUCUGGGUCUGUCCUGACGCUCAGGCGCGAAAGCUAGGGGAGCAAACAG